rnacentral:rRNA from 1 species
CCCUUAGAUGUUCUGGGCGGCCCGCGCACUACAAUGGCGCUUUCAGCGAGUUCCUAUGUUGAAUUUUCCUGGGUAUUCUUGGAAGCGGCGUCUUGACUUGGGAUAGAUCCUUGUAAUUGUUGGUUUUGAACGAGGAAUUCCUUGUAAUCGCGGUUGAUCAGCUCGCGUUGAAUACGUCCCUGCCCUUUGUACACGCCGCCCGUCGCUCCUACCGAUGAAUCGUCCGGUGAAGUUCACAGAGUGGCGGUUCGUGGAGUUGCUCGCGAAGUGAAAUGGACCUCACGAUUUAGAGGAAGGAGAAGUCGUAACA